rnacentral:rRNA from 1 species
CAGUCGAACGAUGACCACCUUCUGGUGGGGAGUGGUGGGGGACGGGUGAGUGAGUAAUGCAUAAUCUGCCCUGCUGUCUGGGACGAUCCCUGGAAACGGGGCCUAUUACCGGAUACUGACCUCUACGGAUAUCCGUGGGGGACGAAAGCUCCUGCCGUGCUAGAUGAGCCCGCGGCCUAUCAGCUUGUUGGUGAGGUAACGGCUCACCAAGGCGACCACUGGUAGCCGGCCUGAAAGGGAGACCGGCCCCCCUGGGACUGAAACACCGCCCAAACUCCUACCGGAGGCAGCAGUGGGGAAUAUUGCACAAUGGGCGAAAGCCUGAUGCAACGACUCCGCGUGAGGGAUGACGGCCUUCCGGUUGUAAACCUCUUUCAGCAGGGAAAAAAAUAAAGUGACGGUACCUGCACAAGAAGUGCCGGCUAACUACGUGCCAGCACCCGCGGUAAUACGUAGGGCGCGAGCGUUGUCCGGAAUUAUUGGGCGUAAAGAGCUCGUAACUGGCUUGUCGCGUCGGUUGUGAAAGCCCGGGGCUUAACCCCGGGUCUGCCGUCGAUACGGGCAGGCUAGAGUUUGGUAACUGGAGAUCGGAAUUCCUGGUGUAGCGGGGAAAUGCUCACAUAUCAGGAGGAACACCGGUGGCGAUAUGCGGAUCUCUGGGCCGAUACUGACGCUCACUAGCGAAAGCGUGAGGAGCAAACACGAUUACAUACCCUGCUAAUACGCAUCGAUAACCGGUGGACACUACCGUGCUGAGCGACAUUCCACUAUCGUGCUGUGGCCGCUCGCUACGUUAUUAAGUGCCCCUACUGGGGGGUACUGACCGCAUGCUGAAUCUCGACGCAGUUGUCAGAGCUCACAGCAAAU